GACGGAGGAGGCAAGCGUUAUCCGGAAUUAUUGGGCGUAAAGGGUACGUAGGCGGCUGGUCAAGUCUGGGGUCAAAGGCCACAGCUCAACUGUGGGAAGGCCCUGGAAACUGACCGGCUAGAGUGAGGUAGGGGUUGCGGGAAUUCCCGGUGUAGCGGUGAAAUGCGUAGAGAUCGGGAAGAACACCUGAGGCGGAAGCGCGCAACUGGGCCUCAACUGACGCUGAGGUACGAAAGCUAGGGGAGCAAACAGG
rnacentral:rRNA from 1 species